CUUUCAGUUGUCCGAGGAGCUUCAAGACGAAUCAGCUACAAGAGAAGUGAAUGAGCUUCUCAAGCUUUUGGCCAAGCCCCACUUGAAGAGCCUUCUGUCAGUCCACGAUGUAGUUGCACAGAAAAGCUAUGAGCCUGAACUACCUCCAAUGCCCGAAGACUUCAACGAUGACGAGGAUUCCGUCAAGAUCAUAAGGCUAGUUAAAAACAAGGAGCCUCUGGGAGCUACGAUAAAGCAAGAUGAUUUUACAGGAGCCAUCCUUGUGGCCCGAAUCAUGAAAGGAGGGGCGGCAGACAGAAGUGGUUUGUUUCAAGUCUUCAAUUUUCUUGUA